UACCAGACUCCUACGGGAGGCAGCAGUGGGGAAUAUUGCACAAUGGGGGAAACCCCGACGCAGCGACGCCGCGUGAGCGAUGAAGUAUUUCGGUAUGUAAAGCUCUAUCAGCAGGGAAGAAAAUGACGGUACCUGACUAAGAAGCCCCGGCUAACUACGUGCCAGCAGCCGCGGUAAUACGUAGGGGGCAAGCGUUAUCCGGAUUUACUGGGUGUAAAGGGAGCGUAGACGGCUGUGCAAGCCAGAUGUGAAAGCCCGGGGCUCAACCCCGGGACUGCAUUUGGAACUGUGUGGCUGGAGUGUCGGAGAGGCAGGCGGAAUUCCUAGUGUAGUGGUGAAAUGCGUAGAUAUUAGGAGGAACACCAGUGGCGAAGGCGGCCUGCUGGACGAUGACUGACGUUGAGGCUCGAAAGCGUGGGGAGCAAACAGGAUUAGAUACCCGAGUAC
rnacentral:rRNA from 1 species